AUUUAUUUUUUUACAUUUUGUUUGGUAAAAAGAGGGGAGUUUAUCGGUUCUUAUCAGUUUACUAUCUGAUACGUCCCCUAUCUGGCUACCAUAUAUUAAAUGGAUUUUUCAGAACGGGGGCUGAUUUCGAAGCUUGCCUCUGUCGCUCUACGCAUUGACCCGAUAUGGCAGUAAAAAAAGGGGGGGGAGGGGAACAAAU